AACAGGCUCGGCCUCUGCUCCUUUAACAGCCUCCUUAGGAGUGAAAAACUGUGAUUUUUAACUGAUCUUUCUUGGGACUCAGGGGAAUGCUCUCAAAGACUGGUGUAAUGCCUAGAGUUUUAUUAAGAGCAAAGUGGACCAUGUGGGAAAAGAAGGGGGAGGAUUCCUAACAUUGCCAUCCUAAUCCUAUCAGGCCAAAGGGGACUGUUGACAGAGCAGGUAUCGAAACUGCGCUUUUUAAAUGGUAAGAAAAAAGUGGAAGUGUCAGUGGGAAAACAUGGAAGGACCACAUGCUGAAGACAACAUUUGACAUACGCCAAUAAAAUUGGAAAUACAAUUGUUUAAGUGCACAAUUGCUCGUCUGUUUGGAAUCUCUUACUAGGGCCAACUAAGCUUCAUCUACCUUCCGUUCUUGCUACUGCUCUGCCAAAACCUGUCCUCUUCUAUAUUUUUGCUGGUGACAUGACUAGCCAAAUAAUAUCACCUGUAAGUAAAAUAACUUGUAAGCUGAAGAGGAGAAGAAGCAUAUCUCUGAAAUCCAAUUUGCAAAUUAAUAUAGUAUCAUUUGGAUUUUGGAUAAAAUUUUAGUCUUGGCCAACCAGAGUGU